ACCUCAUGAUUAGGCCAUUGCAUCAACUUAUAAUUAAAGCAUUGCCAUACUUCAUACAAUCGUUCACAUUGAGUUGGCAAAAGUUGGUGAUUUUAUAUCUAAGUU